AACGAGGCCGACCUGCGGCUGAGUUACCUGCGGAGGGAUCAUUACACAAUACAAUAUGAAGGCUGUCCGCAGCUGGAGUAUUUUAUUACCCUUGUCUUUUGCGCACUUGUUGUUUCCUGGGCGGGUUCGCUCGCCACCAGGACCACCAAAUAAACCUUUUUUAUGCAGUUGCAAUCAGCGUCAGUACAAACAAUGUAAAUCAUUUACAACUUUCAGCAACGGAUCUCAGAUCGGAAGAGC
rnacentral:misc_RNA from 1 species